rnacentral:lncRNA from 1 species
ACUUUAUGUCAAGUGCGUAUUUACAAUCUGACACCAACUUAUCUGUACCAGGCUCACUACAAGAUCUUUCCCAGAUCUAUCCAUUCCUACUUACAGUGGCCAUUUGCCUUACCUCCUAGCCAGAGCUGCCCUAUCCACACCAUACUCCACUACUAAGAUUCUAAAGCCUAGCUUCUGCCACCAAGUCCACAAUUAAGGAGACCCUGUGAAUGGUAUCAACUGACAAGGAGAAGACUCCAUAUCCAUGUACUGGCUUGAGUGGACCCAUGGAGACUUUGGCUAAAGGAAAGUUGCCAUGUUUCAGGUGGACUUCAGACCCUGGAAGAGGAGAGGCAAAGGGAGCCAGAAGGCAAAAAGAACUGGUGAACUGAGUACUGAAGUACAGAGAAGUCAGGCUACUGCCACCUGAAUGUUUUGCACUCAUCCAAUCUGUAUCGCGCUUUCAUACCGGAGUUUGGCAGCGAGGUAAUACUGAUGCACUCCUCUACUUUCCUUGGAUUUCAUUAAACACCUACUAUGUGAUGGUUGUGUUUCAAUGGAAGGGAUGUGCAGUAUGAUGUCUACAAUGAUGUGACUUACUUGAAGCUGUUGAUUAUCUGAAUUUUAUUGUCAAGACAAAAUUAUUCAUGCCUCUCCAGUAUAUCUUUUAUGGAUGAGACUGUACGUUUGAGAGCAAAAUUACCAGUGGGAAUCGACAAUUAGCAGCCACCCAGGAACUAGAUGUAGUGUGGCAUAUUUCUACCAGCUUAGAUAGUCAUCAACCCAUCAGGCCAAAGUUUUCUUCAGCAGAAACUGCCCUGCCAAGUGGUUUCUGGAUCCUUCUCAGAGGAAACAGCAAGGGGCUGAAAGCCACCUCUUUCAACCACACCAGAAAUUGGCUGUCCAUGGAGAUUCUAGACCCAAAAUCUGUCUUAGACACAGAUGUAUCAAACCAAGUCUGGAAACCCACUGGACGUCCCAUCCGGAAGCUGGCUGCAGAUGGGGACGAGUUCUGUUCCCGAGAGAGUCUCAGAAGUAGCCACGGAAUCAUCUCGCUGAUCUUAAUUUCUGUCCCUGGGCUGGGCAAAGGGGAGGAUCGGGGCAAGAGAGCCUCUCCCCUCCUGCCCCCCCUUCCCCAAAUUGGCAGCCAGUCGGUGGCUCUCGGUCUGGGGUCUGGAGGGUGGGGAAUGUGGGUGUGGGGGCCGGCUGGAGAAGCUCUCGCUAGCGCUGCCUGUGGCCAGACCCGCCUCCCAACCCCUCUCGGGCGCACACAGACGUCCACCCAGACACACUCCGCGCGCUCCCUC